GUGGAAAUCUUUUAUGUAAUGUAUUCGUUUUGAAACGAUCUAAAGUUUUAAGUUCUAAAUUUCGAGGACGAAAUUUAUUUUAAGGGUGGUAGAUUGUAACAGUCGUGUUUUUAAGCAGGUUUCAUUAAAAGAUAAUUAUAUUUUAUUACCUUAAAUUAUAUGUUAAACUAUUGUAAAAUACCUUUGAAAAGGUGUAUUUAAUUGUCUAAAUAGAAUCCGGGUUUUAAGAUAUAAUUUGGGUUUUAAAAAAAAGAAAAAAAAAGAAAGAAAAGAGAACAACCUAUUCCUCUCUCUGCGUGUCUUAGUAUGCUGCUGCCAAAUUGAAUAACAUCUUUGAGUUGUCAAAAAUACAAAAACCUCAUGAGAUUCUUUUAUUGAGAAUAAAAAAAAAGUUAGAAACUCAUUCUUAACUCUUGAUAUUCAUGAACCAGAAAAUCAAAGAACCCCAAAAACCCCAAUUCUCUCUCUCUUUCUCUCGCGGGUCCUGCCAAUACCCCAACGACGAACGACUGCCGGACUUAUGGUCGGCGUCGUCGCGCUGCUGUUGUUGUUCUAGCGGUGCUGCCGCUGCUGGUUGGUUCUUUAAGUCCAAUUUUCUCUCUCCUCUGCGUUGUUUACGGUGUUCCUCGCCGGCGUGUUGUUGCUUGUUGUUCUGUUCUCUUCCGUCUUUUCUGCUUCAGCGUUGCUGUUGUUGGUGUUCGCUUGGUGGUCCGCCGCCGCAGCCGCCGCUAAAUGGUGGUCGAUUGUGUAGUUGUUGCCCUCAGUUUCUCUCUCCUCUAUUUUAUUGCUGGAUGUUGUUGCUGUCCCUAUUAGCUUCAAUUCUGGAUUACGUUGGGAAGAUUGAGUUGGUGACCAAAUAUCAAGAUCUUGGAGGUUUGUAAAGAAUUGGAUUUCGAAUGAGAUUGAGUUGGUGACCAAAUAUCAAGAUCUUGGAGGUUUGUAAAGAAUUGGAUUUCGAAUGAGGUUUGUAUUGGGAGCUCAUAGUGGAUCAGAAAUAAAGAAUUGAUGAUAAAAAUGAAGUUAGAUAUAGAAUAUGAGUUGUUGAAUAUUAAGUUCUCAUUUAAUAUUUAAGUAUUGUAUUGUUUUGGGAUUCGAGUAAAGUAUUAUAAAACCAGAUAUUGGUUUGAGGACGAUGUGUUGUGGGCCCUGACCCACAGGUCCAGGAUCGUUUCAUAGAUUUUGUUUCCGCUGCGAGUUAAUGUAAUUCGAGGUUAUUAAUGUUAGGUAUGAUUAGCUAGCAGCUCGGAAGUGCGGGUUGUUACAGAGACACUGUGCUGUAUUUAGCUUGGGGGAGGGAUAUUCUAUCCUCUAUUACUUUCUA